AGUGAACGCUGGCGGUAGGCCUAACACAUGCAAGUCGAACGGCAGCACAGUAAGAUCUUUCUCUUAAGGGUGGCGAGUGGCGGACGGGUGAGGCAUACAUCGGAAUCUACUUUUUCGUGGGGGAUAACGUAGGGAAACUUACGCUAAUACCUCAUACGACCUACGGCUGAAAUCAAUGGAUCUUCGGACCUUUCGCGAUUGUAUUAGCCGAUGUCGGAUUAGCUAGUUGGCGGGGUAAAGGCCCACCAAGGCGACGAUCCGUAGCUGGUCUGAGAGGAUGAUCGGCCACACUGGAACUGAGACACGGUCCAGACUCCUACGGGAGGCAGCAGUGGGGAAUAUUGGACAAUGGGCGCAAGCCUGAUCCAGCCAUACCGCGUGGGUGAAGAAGGCCUUCGGGUUGUAAAGCCCUUUUGUUGGGAAAGAAAAGAAGCAGGUUAAUACCCCGCUGUUCUGACGGUACCCAAAGAAUAAGCACCGGCUAACUUCGUG
rnacentral:rRNA from 1 species